UACGAGGGGUGCAAGCGUUGCUCGGAAUUAUUGGGCGUAAAGGGUAGGUAGGUGGUCUCAUUUGUCCGGGGUGAAAGCCUUGAGCUUAACUCAAGAAGUGCCUCGGAAACGGUGAGACUGGAGUCCUGGAGAGGGUCGUGGAAUUCCCGGUGUAGCGGUGAAAUGCGUAGAGAUCGGCAGGAACACCCAGGGGGAAACCAGUCGACUGGGCAGCACCUGACGCUGAGGUGCGAGAGCGUGGGGAGCGAACCGG
rnacentral:rRNA from 1 species